GACAGUCGGCCCAAUAUGUCAAGACCUCUGAUCACUAGAUCCCCCGCAUCGCCACUGAACAACCAAGGCAUUCCAACUCCAGCACAGCUCACCAAGUCCAAUGCUCCCGUCCACAUUGACGUGGGCGGCCACAUGUACACCAGCAGCCUGGCCACCCUCACCAAAUACCCCGAAUCAAGGUAACUGCAAAAGGGAUGUCAUUCUCACGAGUGCAUGCAUGGGAUGCUCAGAAGUGUGGACUGGCCACUGCCAAGUGCAAGAUAUGACCUGCACGGGUUGCCCAGGGCUGUGGCUGCCUGGCCUCCACAAGCUGGGGUAGAGAACAUGUCCAUAAGUCAAGUUUGGAGUGCCAUGCAUUAUGUGCCUGUCAUUCCAUUGUUCAGUCGCCCAAGGGAGAGGGUCACAAAUUCAAGGCAAGUGGGGCUACAUAGUGAGCUCAAGGCCUUUAGGGACUGUAGAAUGAAACCCAAUCUAGAAAUUAAAAAUGAUGCAAGCAAGGUGAAAUUAAUAAUAAUAAUAAUUAUAAUUAUACCUAAGGCCUCAGCUUAACUCAUGUCAAGGUGGAAGGAGAGAGUCCUGAGGGUUGUUCGUUAAGUUCCAUGUGUAUACCGUGGCAUGCGUGGGCUACUGCACGCACACGUGCACACACACAGAGACAGAGAGAGAGACAGAGACAGACAGAGACAGACAGACAGACAGAGACAGACAGAAAGGGGGAUGGAGAGAGAAAAAAAUAAUGUUUGUAGCCUCAACAGAAAAGAGUGAAUAAAAAUCAUAGCUACUGUGAAAAUGUUAUGGAGACUGGUGUGGUAGUUUUUCAGAUCUCUCUUGACCACCUAGU
rnacentral:lncRNA from 1 species